UAAGUUAUUGUCGGUUGCCUUUCAAAAGAAAAAAGUAGUGUAAAAUUCAGAAAGACCAAGAUAAAAAGGAACAAAUAAAAUGACCCAUCUUCUUCAAUGGAGCUUUGAAGCAGCAACCAAGACCAUCUCGAUUUCCCUCCCCAUUUCAUCUUUUUCAAAGGACCAUGUCUUGUGUGAGUGCGAUGCACGAUGAAGAGGCUUCUGAUAGAGCAGCUGCAACUGAAGCAAACACCGGAGCCCCAACAAUGCUGAACCAAAACACGAAGACAUAAGGGUCAUCUUCUGCAUGCAUCGAAAAUAGUAGCAGAAAAAGAAGGCAUUGUUGACGGAUUCCGUGUUGUCAUAAACAGCGGUGCUACAGCAUGUCAAUUGGUUUACCAUCUACAUUUGCAUGUUAUUGGAGGAAGACAGAUGAAAUGGCACCAGGUUGAUUUGAGGUUUAAACAAUCAUCUCAUUGCUUCCAUUUUCAUUUACAUUUGGGUGGUUACAUACUAUAUGGAGGUUGCAUUGGAUGCAGGUGUAUUAAUGUAUCGUCUUAACUUGAAUGAGGAUUAUUUUCCCAUCUUUGUCUGGUUUUCCAAUCCUCAAUAAUGAUUUUCAAAGUGGAAAUUACUUAAUUGCAUAUCUUUGAGUUUUAUCAUAAAAAGUCAAAUUCAGGAUUAUCUCACUCCCAAUAAUGAGGAAGAGAUUAUGCCACAAUCUAACAAAAAAAAAUUUGUUGUUAUUCUUAAUGGGCUACUAAGAACGAGGAACUUGCGUUUUUCUUGCCCUUUCCAAAAACCGAUGUUGCCAUCAAUAAGUACGUACACUACCACACUAAGACUCCGGUGAUGACUUCAUGAGUGAUUCCGACAAUGGUCUAUGGUGAACUAAAAAAACAGCAACAGUAACACAAAGGUAUCAUUGUUUCUGCGUUGAGAUGGUGAUGUUAGAUGGAGGAUGGUUCUGAUGAUGGUAGUUCAGAGACUCUGACAGGUGUUGUUCUCUUUGUGAAUAAUCAUCUUACACAUAUAUUAAUUUUUCUUCUGUACCUUAGUUAGAUAUUGAUUAACUAAUUGUUACCUAAGUGUUAAAAUUUUAAAAAUAAAAUUUAUUUUGUGUGAAAUAUUGAAGAGAAAAACAAAUUGUGAUAAAU